GGCUGCCCACUGCUCCUAGUGGUUGGAUUGCGUCUAACUGUAACUAGGAUGGGUUAAUUGCAGAGGACAUAUUUCGCUGUAUGUAUAUGUACAAUGACAAUAAAGGCUCUAUACUUACUUUAUUUACAUCA